CACAGUUUGGUUCAUUUCUGUGCAUGUGUUGCUCGUUUCCCUAGUGGGCCAUUGCACUGUACCUGAUCAGAGAUGGAGCAGAGAUCGGAUCAUAGGAAGACAGCCUAUUUUCACUUCUGCUCCCAUGAAUGGAAAUGCUGAUGAUUGUUAACGGUUCUCAUUGCAGGUGUGCUUUGCUCCCAGCCUGUGUCUGCGCAGUCUGCAGGGUCACUCUGCUACAGGGGGUUCACAGCAGAGAUCUGGGAGGUGGUAGUGUGCUUCCAGUCGACAGCCAAAUCUGGCAGGUUCUCCAGAAGGCUGGACGUCAGUGGUCUGCGAUGAGAUGUAGUUCUCAAUGCCAGCUUCCGUCCUUCGUUGCUGCAAGGUGCCCCAAGGAUGGCAGGUAUUUCAGGUGCCUUCCAAUGUCUGUUUACUCAGUGGAUCUGCCAGAAAGGAAGCAAAGAGGGAAGGACAUGACUGAGAAGGUAUGUCCAUGUUGUGAUCCUUCUAGGAGUUCACGACCACCCUAGCACCAUGGGCAGCUUAAAGAAAGAGGUAAGAUUUCUCAGUCUGGUUAUUUCCACUGGAGUACUGUUUAUGGAGCAUGCUGCAGU
rnacentral:lncRNA from 1 species